UUUGUUUUACCAGAAUCAGAAUAUUGUCAGGCCAGGAACAAGAAGAAAAGAGUCACUGACAGCUUUAUUUCUUGGGAUCUUGAAGGACUGACCCAACUUAGAGAUUACACAGCUAUCCAGUAAAGACACUCAGAGCGUACCACAGGCUAAGCGCUCAGCAGACACUGAGUACGUGCUGAUGGGUGAGACGCUUUCCCAUGUUCAAAGCCGUACAGUCUCUGGGGAUACAGACAAGCCCGCCCUGGGAAGCAUCAGUCCCAUGUAACUAGAAGCCCCAUGGGGCAAAGGACCCAAAGAGAGGCCUCCUGAGUGUUAUUUCCAUUCAGCGAAAACUUCAGAGAGAAUUUAACUUACUUUUUUUUAAAAAAAGCUCUGAUCAAGACCAUCAGAGUUAGAGCCAGACAGGCUGGGUUCAAAUCCCAGUUUAGCCACUUGCUAACCGAGUGACACUGGGCAACUAACUGAACCUCUCUGUGCCUCAUUUUUCCCCUUGUAAAAACCUGCUUCCUAGGGUUGUGAAGAUUGAAGUACUUAGACCUAACAGGGGUUCUUAAUGAUCUCAGAUGCUUUAGGUUUUAAUGUCUCACCCAUUUAACGUCACCUUAACAACUUCAGUGCUCUCGCACAUGGCAGAGAAUAUGAAAGCGAACAGCAAACUCUCGGGAGAGUCAGCUUGGUUUCCUAGCCACCCAGCCCGCCCCCCUGCACGGCUCUACCUUCUGCUCUCCCCAGGGUGCUCUGUCUGCCCCUGUCCUCCUGACCACCUUCUCCCCAGGCUCCCACUCUUUCAGUGUCCUGGUCACCAUAGACUCCCCCGUGGAGACUCCUUGACCUUAGGUGGUAUUCCCUCUCUGGGGUGCUCCUGAGGACACAACUUGCGUUUGCAUACUGCUUUGUACUGCAUACUUCUUUUAAUCUCCUCGUCUUACUGGAUUGUAGAUUUCUUGAAGGCAAAGCCAUGUCUGGCUCAUUUUGAUAACACCCACAGUUCUGAGCACAGUGGCCUUCACAUGGCUGGUCCUGAAUUUGUUUCAUAAAUAAGAAUAGAAGUAAAAACACAAAACCUACAAAAACAGUGAAGUAGAGGGUGGGUGCUGGAAUCAGACAGCCUUUAAUUCUGGCUCUGUCACUAUUUGCUGUGGAAUCUUGGACAGUAAUUCUUUCUGUUCCCCCAUCUCCUCAUCAAUAAAGAGGAGAUAAUCACGGUACCUCUCUUAUAGGGCUGUUGUAGGAUUAAAUGAGAUAAUUGUAAAAGGGCCUAGAAGACAACCUGGCAUGUAGUGAGGCUCAGUAACUGUUAACCUUAGCUGUUGCUAUCACCUCAUCAGCUCCCUCAUUAUAAUUAGCGUGGGCUCUUUUGCUUAUAGGGAAACAUCUCUCCACCUACUAAUGAUCCCAAAGGAAAAAAGCGUCUUCUAAUGCAGCACAGGAACUAAGUUUGGUGUUUUAGAAACAUGUCCACUAAACAAACACUUUAAAAUGUCAGCACUUCAGAAAAGUUUGCAUCUAAGGAACCAUUCUGUUACUACAAUCUUUGGAGCACCCAUCUGAAGGUGUGGUAAGGGACAUUUGAUGGCAAGUUCUAUUUUCCCUCCAUACAGCUAGGGCAAAAAGAGGCAGAGAAACAUUUGGCUCCAAGCUAAUAGAAUCAGUGGCAUAGCUCAUCUGAAAAGUUUAUUCAUUCUCAAGCUAAUAGAAGUAGAGGCAUAGCUUAUCUCAAAAAUCUAGCCAUUCGCUAGCCCACAUCCAAACACCAACUGCAGAAGCAAAUCGCAUUUAGCUGUUUCUUUUAAGUGUUACUUUUAGUAAAAGAGUAGAUCAUGAAACUGAACCUUAAAAAAUCCAAAUCUACAGACAGUUAAGAUGAUGUGAUUCAAAUAUUCAGCAUUCUGGUGGUCUUGCUUGUUGAGAGAAGGAGCUUCAAGCAUUGUAUCAUUCAGACAUUGAUUCAGUCAGGAGACGGAAACUGCAUGAGACAUUUUCACAGAGAAAGUAUAAAAACUUGUUAGCUGGAUAUUGAAAAAGCAAAAAGGCAAAAAGAGAAGACUAUCAUAGGAGUUGCAGCAGUAGGAAGCACCUACCUCUCCCAGGCCUGGAGGAACAGAGGGAAGGUGCUGGAAUUACUACAGUUUAGAAUCAGAAGCUCAGAGGUGGAGCCCAUGGGGCCCAAAUCAGGCAUCUUAGUAGGGGCAGCUGUUUGGCUGAGGCUGGUCUCUCUGAGCCUGGAGAAGGGGCUGCCUGACCCUGGGACACAGAUCGCUGAGGAAAGGGUAUCAGCUGGCUGCUGCUGACCCCCUGCAGGGUGUGACAAGCUGACUCUGAGCCUUAGAACAGCAGCAGCCCGGCUUCAGCUGCUGCUACUGGAAUGAAAGGUGACUCUGGGAACAAGACACUUUGCAAGGCUGACCCGACAAGAGCGGGAAACAAAUGCAGAGAAGGAAGUCGCUUCUCCCUCCUCCCACCUUCUAGUCUGUGUCUAGCACAUGCAAUUAGCAGAGGAGGACCAGAAGCAGCUGGCAAAGCAACAAAGGCCUUUGAAGAGCCAAGUUUGGUUGACAUCACCAAAUAUCAGAGGAAAAGAGAAAAUGGCAGAGACAAAGACCAGAGUAAUGUUGGAAAGACACAUGUUGAGGACAAGAGAGUGACAUCAUCCUGAGUUUCUAUGUGACUGUACAGAACAAAGACAACUCUCUGCCGCCUCCCCCAGUCCCCAGCCUGGAACUUAUUCCCUGGAUGGCAGUAGGAGAAAUAAACCUUGACUACAUUUAAGCUAAAGUAUUUUGGGUCCACUUCUUAUAGGGUUUUAGCUUAAUCUAAUUAAUACAUAGUUGAAAACCAAUAUAUUGUAUAGAAGAAUUUGAAUUGUAUUAGAGUUCCUAGAUGCGAUAAAACCUAAUCUGGGUGUUAAUUAGUAACAAUUGCAAAUAAUUUAGAGAUUUAAUGUGCCAGGAACUGUGCCAAGAAACAACAUGUACUAUCUAAUUGUCACAAUAGCCCUUUACAUUAUGUGUUAUUGAAACUUAAUUUUGCCCGUGAAGUAAGUUUAGAACAGCCAUGUAUACAGCUACAAUGGAUGGUAGGCCCAUAAUCUGAACACAUCUACCUCUGUCUAUGAAGUCGGUGUAUGCUGGUGGGGGCUAGUGUAAAGGAAAGGCAUGUAGGUGUGUGUUAUGGGGCAGGUUGGGGCUGGGUGUGACAAUAGCUGUAGGACUUUUCCUUUCCAGUAAUAUUCUUAUAGAAAAAGAGUUCCCUUUGCUCUCCUGUUCUUCAAGCCAGUCUUGACUUCUGAAAUCUGAACUGCUCUUUUUUCCAUCAAUGCUAUGGCAAUGGGAGAACCCAGAAUAAAUUAUCUAGGUAUUUAGAGCUGAAAAAGGAGCCAAAAACCUAGCCCUCACCAACCAGCAUGCCCACUCCCAAACAGGAGCCCAGACAAUCUGAGGGACCACUAAAUAGAGAGCAUAGGGCAAUUAAAUGGAUGACCCUUCCUUUGGAGAAGGAACCCCAGAAGGAUCACAGGCUGAGAGGCAGGGAUUUGGGCCACAGAACAGAAGAAGAAGCCCAGUCAAAGGCAAAUAAAUAACCAUUGUUCAAGAUUACCAACUGCUAGCAUUGAUAAUCAAGAGGUAACUGUAAGUCUUCCUUUUUUUGCAUCCAGAUGGUCCAGGAGGAAUUCAAAGCAAAUAAAUGCAUAUACGCCUGGGUAUGUCUAAAUACAUUUAUUUCCAAGAACUACUAGGUGUUGAGAAACCAUGCAGAGUUUUGAAUAGAGGAGGUGGACAUCAACUGCAGAAAUGAUUUUCAUAAUUCUGAAACACGCCUUCAAUGGGAGGAGCGCCUCCAGGGUGAGGAUGUACCCUGAAACUAACACAGGCUGAUUCCAGACCGGCCACUGAAGGGCAGGCACCUGGCUCAGGGGCACCCAGGUGGCAGCUCCAGGAAUGAAGGAACAGGAGUUUUGGUCUUGGGGAAGAGUUGAAUCUGCUCUGUUGGAUGGAAGUCUGUAGACAGAGGUUGUAAGGUCCUCCUUUUCCUCUGAAACAAGAUUUUAUGGAAGUUCCUGUCCUGAACAGACGUUUGCUGGUCUCCAGUCCCCACCAGGCACUGCAGCUAAGGACACUUGGGAAGUCGUGUACAUCAGCCACACUUGUGUGGACCUCUCCUAAGCAGCCCCAUGGAGCUUUAAGCAGUGCCUGACAGGAGGAGCUUUUCAUGUGAAACACCUCUUCUCCCAGUCUUGAAGGAGUGGACCUCCCCUGGGUAGACUGUGUGUGUCUGGUGGCUUUGGCUAGCUGGAAACCAGCAGCCAAAUGACCUCAAAAUCACUAGAAAAAAUGCAAGGGGGAAGGGAUAUCCACCUGACCCAGCCCAGGCCGUGGGAGGAGAGCCAAGCAGUCGCAGUUGAGAGGAAGCUGUGGUACUUCAAAGAGGCUUCACAGAGGUGGAACCAGAGCAGCUCUGAGGAUAUUUCACUCAAAGCUGAGGGAAAGCCAGAGUUCUCAGAAUUGCCUAUAGGGCCCAACACAGCCUUCAUCUUAUCUGUACCCCAUCACCUCUUAUUCACCCUGUUCCUAACAGCCUCUUUGCUGUUCCUCAAACAUGCUGCCAUCUCAGGGCAUUUUCAUAUGUUGAUUCCCCUAGAAUGUUCUCCCAGUACUCAGACUAAUUGUUUCCAAGUCAGUUGAAGGACUUUGCUCACAUGUCAACUUAUAGGCAAGGCCAUUCCUGCCCAUUCUACUUAAGGCUGUGCCAGCCCUCCUUACCCCUCCCUAGCUUCACAUGUCUCUGGAGCAUGGAUCACUGCCUGACAAGCUAUUUUACAUACUUUUUGUUUAUUGUGUCUCUUGUCACCCUAAAGUAUGAGUCACUUAAGAGUUUGU